rnacentral:rRNA from 1 species
GACGAACGCUGGCGGCGUGCCUAAUACAUGCAAGUGGGACGCAAGGGAACACACUGUGCUUGCACACCGUGUUUUCUUGAAUCGCGAACGGGUGAGUAACGCGUAGGUAACCUGCCUAUUAGCGGGGGAUAACUAUUGGAAACGAUAGCUAAUACCGCAUAAUAUUAAUUAUUGCAUGAUAAUUGAUUGAAAGAUGCAAGCGCAUCACUAGUAGAUGGACCUGCGUUGUAUUAGCUAGUUGGUAAGGUAAGAGCUUACCAAGGCGACGAUACAUAGCCGACCUGAGAGGGUGAUCGGCCACACUGGGACUGAGACACGGCCCAGACUCCUACGGGAGGCAGCAGUAGGGAAUCUUCGGCAAUGGACGAAAGUCUGACCGAGCAACGCCGCGUGAGUGAAGAAGGUUUUCGGAUCGUAAAGCUCUGUUGUAAGUCAAGAACGUGUGUGAGAGUGGAAAGUUCACACAGUGACGGAGCUAC